rnacentral:rRNA from 1 species
AUUGAACGCUGGCGGCAGGCUUAACACAUGCAAGUCGAGCGGGGGAAGGUAGCUUGCUACCUAACCUAGCGGCGGACGGGUGAGUAAUGCUUAGGAAUCUGCCUAUCAGUGGGGGACAACAUUUCGAAAGGGAUGCUAAUACCGCAUACGCCCUAAGGGGGAAAGCAGGGGAUCUUCGGACCUUGCGCUAAUAGAUGAGCCUAAGUCGGAUUAGCUAGUUGGUGGGGUAAAGGCCUACCAAGGCGACGAUCUGUAGCGGGUCUGAGAGGAGGAUCCGCCACACUGGGACUGAGACACGGCCCAGACUCCUACGGGAGGCAGCAGUGGGGAAUAUUGGACAAUGGGCGGAAGCCUGAUCCAGCCAUGCCGCGUGUGUGAAGAAGGCCUUUUGGUUGUAAAGCACUUUAAGCGAGGAGGAGGCUACCUGGAUUAAUACUCUAGGAUAGUGGACGUUACUCGCAGAAUAAGCACCGGCUAACUCUGUGCCAGCCGCCGCCGUAAGAC